rnacentral:sRNA from 1 species
AUUUUUCUUCUUUUUCUUCACAAGAGAAAGAGAAAGAGACGACGGCAAAAUGAACAAA